UCGUCUCUUGCCUCGCUCGGUCUGCCGCUUUCAUCGGCUAAUCUUGAGCUGGAUGCAUCCCGGUCACUAUAAGUGCCGGCUUGUACGAGACAAGAAGAAGUGUGAAAACGCGUCGACGCUUUUUGAGUACGAUUUGAUUCGCAUUGCACUACGGAUCUGCGUCGUAAUUUAUCAGUCGGGACAUCU
rnacentral:snoRNA from 1 species